rnacentral:miRNA from 1 species
CUGGCUUCUCAGCGAAGCAGGAUGAGGGACAGAAGGGAGCCCUUACAGAGCCCCUUCCGUCCCUUAUCCUGCUUCACUGGGAAGCCAG